rnacentral:rRNA from 1 species
AACGAACGCUGGCGGCAGGCUUAACACAUGCAAGUCGAGCGCAUCCUUCGGGGUGAGCGGCGGACGGGUGUGUAACGCGUGGGAACGUGCCCUCUUCUACGGAAUAGCCUCGGGAAACUGAGAGUAAUGCCGUAUACGCCCGCAAGGGGAAAGAUUUAUCGGAGGAGGAUCGGCCCGCGUUGGAUUAGGUAGUUGGUGGGGUAACGGCCUACCAAGCCGACGAUCCAUAGCUGGUUUGAGAGGAUGAUCAGCCACACUGGGACUGAGACACGGCCCAGACUCCUACGGGAGGCAGCAGUGGGGAAUCUUGGACAAUGGGGGCAACCCUGAUCCAGCCAUGCCGCGUGAUCGAUGAAGGCCUUAGGGUUGUAAAGAUCUUUCAGCUGGGAAGAUAAUGACGGUACCAGCAGAAGAAGCCCCGGCUAACUCCGUG